UACGUAGGCAGCAAGCGUUGUUCGGAGUUACUGGGCGUAAAGGGUGCGUAGGCGGCUUCUUAAGUCUGGUGUGAAAUCUCCCGGCUCAACUGGGAGGGUGCGCCGGAUACCGAGGGGCUAGAGUGUGGGAGAGGAAAGUGGAAUUCCUGGUGUAGCGGUGAAAUGCGUAGAUAUCAGGAGGAACACCGGUGGUGUAAACGGCUUUCUGGACCAUAACUGACGCUGAGGCACGAAAGCGUGGGUAGCAAACAGG
rnacentral:rRNA from 1 species